AGGGCCCGGGCUGCGCCUGAAGGCGGGGGCGGGAGGCGCGGCCGCAGACGCCGAAGGCAGGUCCCUGCAGCGACCGCUCCAACCUGGAGGAACCUUGGAGAAUCAAGUCCAGCCCCCUCUUUUUAGAAAAGAAAACCUGAGGCCUUGAGACUGGAGGGAACCUGCCCGAGGAGGCCACCCAGCCCGUGGCCGACAGCCAGGCCCCGAGGCUGCCCCCCUCCCCGUGGCUCUGUUCUACACACUUUGCAUGUAACAUUGACUGAAUCUCACAGCAGCAACCUUGAGGGAGAAGCUGAACUGCAGAAAAGUGAAGUGACCUGCCCAAGGUCAUGCAGCUACGAAGUGAUGGACCCUGGACCAAGCUGGCCUGCUCCCCAGGACCACACUAGCAGUCACAAUGAUGUGCUGAUCCCCAUAGCAGACCCUCAGGUUGCAAGAAUGAAUGAGUGAGUGGGCAAAUGACAAAUACCUGGGCCAAGUGGUAUGCCUGAAUAACAGACAUUCCCAGCUUUCAGAAGCUCGCUGUCUGCAUCUCCUUGGGUCUCUGUUGUGGAGUGGGGAGAGAAGGGAACACUCUCAUUGACUAUGGGACAGUUGUGUGCCAGUCAUUAUAACUUCUGCAAAACAGAUGUUGUUAUUGUCCUGGUUUUAUAGGCAAGGAAACAGAAGCCCAGAAAGGUAAAGUGAGUGAGGUCAUACAGCUCUUGCAACAGGAUUCAGACUGUCCAUCAGACUCCAGAUUAUGCUCUACCAUCAGCCAGUCCAAAUCACAAAUCACAUUUACUGGGCAGGCUGGGGACCUGGGCAGGGCUGGUGCAGCUCCCACGCUGACUGGUGGACAGUGGGUGGCUUGGCCUGUCUUUGCUGUAUCCCUCAACCCCAGCCCAUCUUUGCAAGUGGGAAGCGCACACAGCCAGUACCUAUUCCCUUGGCCAGAAGGAAAGGGUAAGACUGUUCCUAGGAGGAAAGAGGUGGUGAUAAAGGAGAUGAAGGCUGUUUUCACCCUCUUCAUUGUAGUGACCACACUGAGUUCUUCUUAUGGUGGCCAAUACUGAGCUCAGACCUGUUCAUACCAAACUGACUGAAGAUUCUUGUACCUGCAUGUAAAGGAAACCCAACUAAAUUGGCUUAUGAACUGAAUCGUGGAACUGGGAGUCCAGGAGUAGGUUUGGCUUCAAGCAGUGCUUGGUAAUAUCUACAUCAAUGCUGUCAUCAUCAUCAUUAUCAUUAUCCUUCUAACAAAUGACUCUGCCCACAGAAUAGAUGGGCUCUCUCCAAACUCAUAGUCUCCCAGUUCGGUAACUCCAGGAAGGAGAGAUUCAAGGCAGACUCUGGUUGGCCUGUGGGAGUCUUGAGCCCACCAUAGGGAUGAAUCACUGUUGCCAGGAAAGGGAUAUCAUGAUUGACUGGGCAUGGCAGGUGCCCCAUGGGAAGAGGCUAAGGCUUUAUGAUUGGUCUCAACAGAGCACAAAGAAUGGGGUGGACCCCAAGAAAGGGUAAUGUAAAAAGAAAGUGAAUGAAUGAAUCCACUUUCACCCAUAAUAGUCCCUGUCCCCACAGGCCCUGCAGAGCUCAUGAUUGGGGAAGAGUAUAAUCUAGGAGGAAUCAGGAUGGGGAGAGAAAAUGGAAGACUUUGCUCUGGGCCCUGCCUUCAGUGGCCUGCUGUCAUUUCUGAUAAGAAGAUCCAAGCUUUCUGUGAGGGCCAAGAGCUCACCAACACUUGUGCUCAAGACUCUGUCAUACCCCUUGACCAUGAAGCCUGGUUCGGGAUCCACCCGUCUUCUUCUCUGUGGGCAUGAGCCAGGCUUUCCCUGGGCCCAGAAUUGGGCCUGAGUCGUGUUGCUUGCUAUCUGUCCAUCUGUACUUGUGGGAAGCAGUCCUCAUCAGAGUAUCUUGUCAAACAGAUGCCCUGCUCCCUGCAGGCAUCCCUGCACCUCUUCCCCCUCCAGCUCUGCCCUAGCCAGUUCCUCUGCCAGGCCACAGCCUCUCUGUCCCCUGGAGUUUGUGUCUCAUGCUGGUCCUUUUGCCUGCCUGGAAAGCAUGUCCUCUACCCUCUAUCCAGAUGACUCCUCAUCCCGUGGAAUUCAGCUCAGGGGUCACUUCCUUCAGGAAGCUUCUUUAACAUGCCUGCUGUCCCCCCGCAGCCCCCCACAUAGAGGCCUCUUCUCUGUGCUUAUUGCUAGCAGAGCAGUAAUCACGUUCUGAUUAAAUCCUUCUUAUCUGUUUUCCUUACCAAAUCCUAAGAUCUCUUGAGAAUAAAAACUUCA